rnacentral:rRNA from 1 species
AUACGGAGGGUGCAAGCGUUGUUCGGAAUCACUGGGCGUAAAGGGCGCGCAGGCGGUUUGGUAAGUCAGAUGUGAAAGCCCAUGGCUCAACCAUGGAAGUGCAUUUGAAACUGUCAGACUUGAGUACUAGAGGGGAAAGUGGAAUUCCCGGUGUAGAGGUGAAAUUCGUAGAUAUCGGGAGGAAUACCGGUGGCGAAGGCGACUUUCUGGCUAGAUACUGACGCUGAGGCGCGAAAGCGUGGGGAGCAAACAGGAUUAGAAACCCUUGUAGUCC